UAGGGUGCGAGCGUUAAUCGGAAUUACUGGGCGUAAAGCGUGCGCAGGCGGCUUACUAAGUCAGGUGUGAAAGCCCCGAGCUUAACUUGGGAAUGGCGCUUGUGACUGGUAGGCUGGAGUGUGGCAGAGGGAGGUGGAAUUCCACGUGUAGCAGUGAAAUGCGUAGAGAUGUGGAGGAACACCGAUGGCGAAGGCAGCCUCCUGGGCCAGCACUGACGCUCAUGCACGAAAGCGUGGGGAGCAAACAGG
rnacentral:rRNA from 1 species